rnacentral:rRNA from 1 species
AUUGAACGCUGGCGGCAGGCCUAACACAUGCAAGUCGAGCGGAUGAAGGGAGCUUGCUCCUGGAUUCAGCGGCGGACGGGUGAGUAAUGCCUAGGAAUCUGCCUGGUAGUGGGGGAUAACGUCCGGAAACGGGCGCUAAUACCGCAUACGUCCUGAGGGAGAAAGUGGGGGAUCUUCGGACCUCACGCUAUCAGAUGAGCCUAGGUCGGAUUAGCUAGUUGGUGGGGUAAAGGCCUACCAAGGCGACGAUCCGUAACUGGUCUGAGAGGAGGAUCAGUCACACUGGAACUGAGACACGGUCCAGACUCCUACGGGAGGCAGCAGUGGGGAAUAUUAGGCAAUGGGCGAAAGCCUGAUCCAGCCAUGCCGCGUGUGUGAAGAAGGUCUUCGGAUUGUAAAGCACUUUAAGUUGGGAGGAAGGGCAGUAAGUUAAUACCUUGCUGUUUUGACGGUACCAACAGAAUAAGCACCGGCUAACUACGUG